rnacentral:rRNA from 1 species
AACGAACGCUGGCGGCAUGCCUAACACAUGCAAGUCGAACGAGACCUUCGGGUCUAGUGGCGCACGGGUGCGUAACGCGUGGGAACCUGCCCUUAGGCUCGGAAUAACUCCCCGAAAGGGGUGCUAAUACCGGAUAAUGUCUUCGGACCAAAGAUUUAACGCCUUUGGAUGGGCCCGCGUUGGAUUAGCUAGUUGGUAGGGUAAAAGCCUACCACGGGGACGAUCCAUAGCUGGUCAGAGAGGAUGGGUAGCCACACUGGGGCGAGGAAACGGCCCAGAAUAUUGGGGGAUGGAGCAAUGGGGGAUAUUGGAAAAUCGGGGAAAGGCAGAUGCCGCAAGGGCGCGUGAGUGAUGAAGGCCGGAAGGUUGUAAAGCUCUUUUAACCGGGAUGAUAAUGACAGUACCCGGAGAAUAAGCUCCGGCUAACUCCAUG